UUAUCUCACAGUUCUGCAGGCUAUACAGGAAGCAUGAUGCUGGCAUCUGCUCAGCUUCAGGGGAUGCCUCAAGAAACUUACAAUCUUGGCAGAAGGCGAGGGGAGCAGGCACAGCCAGAGUAGGAGCAAGAGAGAGUGAGUGGGGAGGCACUGCACACUUUUAAACAACCAGAUCUUGAGAGAACUCACUAUCUUGAGAACAGCACCAAACGGAUGGUGCUAAACUAUUCAUGAGAAAUCCACCCCCAUGAUCUAAUCACUUCCUACCAGGCCCCACCUCCAACACUGGGAAUUACAAUUUGACCUGAGAUUUGGGUGGGAACACAGAUCCAAACUCUAUCAGAAUAUAUUUAAUGCCACUGAACUGUACCCCUAACCAUGGUUAAAUGGUAAACGUUAUGUGCUUUGCCACAGUAAGAAAAGCGGCAGCCCGCUGGGCGCGGUGGCUCACGCCUGUAAUCCCAGCACUUUGGGAGGCAGAGGCGGGAGGAUCACGAGGUCAGGAGAUCGAGACCACAGUGAAACCCCGUCUCUACUAAAAAUACAAAAAAUUAGCUGGGCGCAGUGGCGGGCACCUGUAGUCCCGGCUACUCGGGAGGCUGAGGCAGGAGAAUGGCGUGAACCCGGAAGGCGGAGCUUGCAGUGAGCCGAGAUCCUGCCACUGCACUCCAGCCUGGGCGACAGAGCGAGACUCCGUCUCAAAAAAAAAAAAAAAAAAAGAAAAGAAAAGAAAAGCGGCAGCCCUGCCCCCACCAACAUGCGUAAUUUUUCUCACUAGCAUCUAUCUCCUUUAGACAUAAAUUCUAUUCAUGUGUUUUGUUUCUCCCCACACUAAACUCCCAGUGCCAUGAAGACAUAUUUGUCAUGUGCUCAUGGUUGUAUCCCCCAGUUGCUAGAGCCAUGCCUGGGGGCAUAGGAGAUGCUCAAGAAAUACUAGUCAAAUGAAUGGAAGAAGGAACCUCUAUGCCUCAGUUUCCUUAUCUGUGAAAUGGGGAUAAACCUCACCCUUCAGAGUUGUUGUAAACUGUGAGUGGCAUACAUAGGUAACGGGCCCAGCACAGAGUGUGGUGCUUGAUGCACAGAAAAUGCUCAUGGCCGGGCAUGGUGGCUCACGCCUGGAAUCCCAGCAUUUUGGGAGGCUGAGGCAGGUGGAUUGCUUGAGCUCAGGAGUCGAGACCAGCUUGGGCAACAUAGUGAGAUCCCGUCUCUACAAAAAAUAGAAAAAUUAGCCAGGCAUGGUGGCACGUGCUGGUAGUCCCAGCUACUCGGGAGGCUGAGGUAGGAGGAUCACUUGAGCCUGGGAGGCAGAAGUUGCAGUGAGUGGUGAUUGCGCCACUGGACUCCAGCCUGGGCGACAGAGUGAGACCCUGCCUCAAUGCUCAGUACAUGUACACCCUCUUCCUUGGGAAGUAGCUCCACUCAUAGACCUUAGGCCCUGGAGCCAGACCAUGUGAGUUCAAGUCCUCCUAUCACUUCCAGCUAAUUGAACUCGGCAAGUGACAACCUCUCUGUAAAAUGGAAACACAGAGUGACAAACUCAGGGAAGUCUUGUGAGGAUUGAAUGAAACACACAAGUGUCCCAGAAAGGGCAGUUCUCAGUGUGCUAGUUCUGUUCUUUCCCAUGCAGGUCCCUCUCCGGUGCCCAGCCAGACAGGAAGUACAGAUGCCCAUACCUCCAGAUCCCUGACUCCCUCCCCAGCUCUCGGGUCUGCAGGAUCCCUCUGGAUUGCAGCUGAGAGGAGUUCCCCAGCAGGCAGGGACCCCACGAGACAAGACGCAGCUUUGGAAGGUUACACCUUGCUCCUACUCUUCCCACCAAAAUCAUACCUGUCCCUCUCUAGGUGAUGGGGACGGGGCAGAGGACCCAGGCCGAGGCCUGAGUGGACUUUCUCUUCCCACAGGCCCCCAGCUCUGAGGGGUGGCGCUGGCCUCCUCGAUGCUCCUGGCCUCUGCUGGCCUCCUCCUGGGCCUCCUCUGGUGCUGUUGCUCUCCCAGCUGGCUGGCCUGGCAACCUGGUGCCCGUGGCCUCUGCCUCCACUGCAGCACAGCCUGUACCACGUGCUACCCAUGUCCCAGCCAGGUCUCCCCAGGGGGCUGCAGUUGAGUGGCCCAGCCUUAUAGGAUCAGGGAGGCCAUCCCUAGAGGGGCUUCGGGCACAUGGGAAUGAUACUAGGCUCUGGGGUCAGACUCUUUGGGUUCUAACCCCCUGGCUCUCUGUCUGAUGUUGGACAGGCCCCCUAACCCUCUGAGACUCAGCUGCCCCUCUAGAAAAUAGGACAAUUCCUGCCUCACAGGGUUGGGGGCCUGGGGGCCUCGCUGAUCCCAAGCCAGCUUGCUUCACCCCCAGAUCUCACCUGCCCUGCUCUGCCCCAUCCACAGGCUCCACUGAGUGAAGCCCUCAUCAAAGACUCAGGAGGCCCCUGGCGGGGAUAGCACCGUUUAUUAAGAAAAAUCAAGACAAAGACCACAGGAGGGUCCCUUCUAGGACACAGAGGCCAGGCGUCCCAACCCCACAGUCUGGGGGCCACUGGCAGGAUGGCACUUGAGCUGGAUCUUCAGGCUCCUGCAGAUGGGGCAGGGUGGUCAUAUCCCCCUCCUCUCUCUCUCAGUCGUGAGUCCUGCCUUCCCCCACCUAAGGCACUAGCUCUUCCUGAGCACCAGCGGCAUCCGUCCGUCCGUUGUCUGUUGGAGGAGUCCCUGGGCCUUCACUUCCAGAUGGGUGGGGAUGUGGCCUGGGGUGGGCGGGGCCCGGUGGGCGGGGCCCUAUCAGUGCUGGGCUCUGCCUGUAGCAGCUCCUGGUAAGAGUUGGGGUGGGCCUUCCCUUACAGCCCCUGAGGGAGGGACCCCAGGCUGUGGGCUGGGUGGAGCAAAGCGUGGCAUCGCCUCGGUUUCUUACAAAAAUUCAUAAUAAUAUUAAUAAUAAUAUACUCGACAUUGUCGGGCUGGGGCGUGGCCCGGGAGUCCGUGUGGGGCAGGCAGGUGCCUACGAGGGGCAGGGGCGUGUGUUGGCCCCGGCCUGGGCGCGGUGCUGCAGGUCCAGGGGCUGUGGGGGCGGGGCGCCGGGUCGGGCCGAGUGCAGCACCAGGUUCUUGACACAGCCUGUGAUGCCUGAGGAGAAUCUGCCCCCGGUCAGCGUGGCCACGUCAGGGGCUCCGC
rnacentral:lncRNA from 10 species